rnacentral:rRNA from 1 species
GCAUAACGCGAAGAACCUUACCAAGGCUUGACAUCCCCUUGACCGGCACAGAGAUGUGCCCUCUCCUUCGGGAGCAAGGGUGACAGGUGGUGCAUGGUUGUCGUCAGCUCGUGUCGUGAGAUGUUGGGUUAAGUCCCGCAACGAGCGCAACCCUUAUCCUUAGUUGCCAGCAGGUGAAGCUGGGCACUCUAAGGAGACUGCCGAUGAUAAAUCGGAGGAAGGUGGGGAUGACGUCAAAUCAUCAUGCCCCUUAUGUCUUGGGCUACACACGUGCUACAAUGGUCGGUACAAAGGGGAGCGAAGGAGUGAUCUGGAGCAAAUCCCAAUAAACCGAUCUCAGUUCGGAUUGUAGGCUGCAACUCGCCUACAUGAAGUCGGAGUUGCUAGUAAUCGCGAAUCAGAACGUCGCGGUGAAUGCGUUCCCGGGUCUUGUACACACCG